GUGGGAUAUGCCCCAUAUUAGGUACAAGUCUCAAAAUGAUAAUUAGGUGAACGAUGAUGACCAUUUAAUGCCCUCUAAGAAUUACUUUCUUCAAGUAGCUUCCAAUUAAUGCUUAGUUGAUUUGUAAAAAAUGGCUUCCUAAGUUCAUAUUUUCGAUAGAAAGUUUAUUAGAAGAGAUUGUCAUGUAAACAGGUGUUUGUUCAUAGACAUCUACUACACGCUGAUUACAUUUUCUGCUAUCU
rnacentral:lncRNA from 1 species